UGGGGAAUAUUGGGCAAUGGGCGAAAGCCUGACCCAGCAACGCCGCGUGAAGGAAGAAGGUCUUCGGAUUGUAAACUUCUUUUAUGAGGGACGAAGGACGUGACGGUACCUCAUGAAUAAGCCACGGCUAACUACGUGCCAGCAGCCGCGGUAAUACGUAGGUGGCAAGCGUUGUCCGGAUUUACUGGGUGUAAAGGGCGCGUAGGCGGGAUGGCAAGUCAGAUGUGAAAUCCAUGGGCUCAACCCAUGAACUGCAUUUGAAACUGUCGUUCUUGAGUAUCGGAGAGGCAAGCGGAAUUCCUAGUGUAGCGGUGAAAUACGUAGAUAUGACACAGAAGGCCGAUUGCGAAGGCAGCUGGCAAAGGCACGAUUGACGCUGAGGCACGAAAGUGCGGGGAUCGAACAGGAUUAGAUACCCUGGUAGU
rnacentral:rRNA from 1 species